rnacentral:rRNA from 1 species
UGAACGCUAGCGGCAGGCCUAAUACAUGCAAGUCGAACGGUAACAUUUCUAGCUUGCUAGAAGAUGACGAGUGGCGAACGGGUGCGUAACGCGUAUGUAAUCUACCUUUAACAGAGGGAUAGCCCAGAGAAAUUUGGAUUAAUACCUCAUAAUAUUACAGAACGGCAUCGUUUUAUAAUUAAAACUCCGGUGGUUAAAGAUGAGCAUGCGUCCUAUUAGUUAGUUGGUGAGGUAACGGCUUACCAAGACAAUGAUAGGUAGGGGGCCUGAAAGGGUGAUCCCCCACACUGGUACUGAGACACGGACCAGACUCCUACGGGAGGCAGCAGUAAGGAAUAUUGCACAAUGGAGGAAACUCUGAUGCAGCCAUGCCGCGUGCAGGAAGACUGCCCUAUGGGUUGUAAACUGCUUUUCUACAAGAAGAAACCCCAGUACGUGUACGGCUUGACGGUAUGUAGGAAUAAGCACCGGCUAA